UGCUCUAAAUGACACUGUUUCAUUAUUUUGAUGGCUGAAGAAUAUUUUCUAGUGUAUGUAUAUGAGAGUUUCUUGAUCUCUUUAUCUGUGGAUGAACAGGCUAGUCACCCUGCUGUGGAAUAGAAGACCAGAAUUGGUCACGCUCAUCUGAGAGUAACUUUGUACCCCAUCACUGAUUCCUUCCGAGACCGCCUUCACUUCCCCAGCAGCCUCUGGUUUCUUCAUGUGGCUGCAGAUGGCAGGGUUUCCCAAAGGUUUAUGGCUGAAACAUAUUCCGUGGUAUAUCUGUACAGCAGUUUCCUCAUCCCUGCAGCUGUGUUUGAACAGGUUCAACAGUAUGGCUCCAAAUGAUGAAAUUUCACUUUGAUUUUCUGGCUGAAGACUAUUCUGUUUGUGUGCAUCCCCCACAGUUACUUUAUCCCUUCAUCUGUGGAUG